rnacentral:hammerhead_ribozyme from 1 species
GUCAGCUGACGAGUUCUAAACUGGACGAAACGCUCGUCUUGGAU